UUAUGGCUCAGGACGAACGCUGGCGGCGUGCUUAACACAUGCAAGUUGAACGGUAUGACAUGGAAGCUUGCUGAAGUGUCAUAUAGUAGCGGACGGGUGAGUAAUGCAUGAGAAGCUGCCAUUGGGAGGGGGACAACAGUUGGAAACGGCUGCUAAUACCCCGUAUGCCGGAAGGUGAAAGGGAGCGAUCCGCCCGAUGAGGUGCUCAUGUCCUAUCAGCUGGUUGGUGGGGUAACGGCCUACCAAGGCGACGACGGGUAGCCGGCCUGAGAGGGUGAACGGCCACACUGGAACUGAGAUACGGUCCAGACUCCUACGGGAGGCAGCAGUGGGGAAUAUUUGGGCAAUGGGGGCAACCCUGACCCAGCGACGCCGCGUGGGGGAAGACGGCCUUCGGGUUGUAAACCUCUUUUGUACGGGAAGAAGGAAGUGACGGUACUGUACGAAUAAGUCCCGGCUAACUACGUGCCAGCCGCUGC
rnacentral:rRNA from 1 species